AGUCGUGGGGCAGCAUGACUGUAGCAAUACAGUUGAUGGCGACCGGCAAACGGGUGCGGAACACGUACACAACCUUCCUUUAAGUGGGGAAUAGCCCAGGGAAACUUGGAUUAAUACCCCGUAAUAUAUAGAAGUGGCAUCACUUUUAUAUUAUAGCAGCAAUGCGCUUGAAGAUGGGUGUGCGGCUGAUUAGAUAGUUGGCGGGGUAACGGCCCACCAAGUCGACGAUCAGUAACUGGUGUGAGAGCACGACCAGUCACACGGGCACUGAGACACGGGCCCGACUCCUACGGGAGGCAGCAGUAAGGAAUAUUGGUCAAUGGACGCAAGUCUGAACCAGCCAUGCCGCGUGGAGGAUGAAGGUCCUCUGGAUUGUAAACUUCUUUUAUCUGGGAAGAAAUCCAUUUUUUCUAAAAUGGUUGACGGUACCAGAUGAAUAAGCACCGGCUAACUCCGUGCCAGCAGCCGCGGUAAUACGGAGGGUGCAAGCGUUAUCCGGAUUCACUGGGUUUAAAGGGUGCGUAGGUGGGCAAGUAAGUCAGUGGUGAAAUCUCCGGGCUUAACCCGGAAACUGCCAUUGAUACUAUUUGUCUUGAAUACUGUGGAGGUCAGCGGAAUAUGUCAUGUAGCGGUGAAAUGCUUAGAUAUGACAUAGAACACCAAUUGCGAAGGCAGCUGGCUACACAAAUAUUGACACUGAGGCACGAAAGCGUGGGGAUCAAACAGGAUUAGAUACCCUGGUAGUCCACGCCCUAAACUAUGGAUACUCGACAUUUGCGAUAAACUGCAAGUGUCUGAGCGAAAGCAUUAAGUAUCCCACCUGGGAAGUACGAUCGCAAGAU
rnacentral:rRNA from 1 species